rnacentral:rRNA from 1 species
GCUUGUCUCAAAGAUUAAGCCAUGCAUGUCUUAGUGUAAAUAACUCUUAUGAAACUGCGAAUGGCUCAUUAAAUCAGUUAUCAAAUACGUGAUGGUCGCCUACUACAUGGAUAACCGUAGUAAUUCUAGAGCUAAUACAUGCACAAAGGCCCACUCACGUGGGUUGUGAUUAUUAGAUUCAAACCGGCCUCGUUCUGGUGAUUCAUAAUAACUGAUCGAAUCGCAUGCCUUCGGGCGGCGAUGUAUCAUUCAAGUUUCUGACCUAUCAGCUUCCGACGGUAGGGUAUUGGCCUACCGUGGCAAUGACGGGUAACGGGGAAUUAGGGUUCGAUUCCGGAGAGGGAGCCUGAGAAACGGCUACCACAUCUAAGGAAGGCAGCAGG